rnacentral:rRNA from 1 species
UAGGGAAUCUUCCACAAUGGACGCAAGUCUGAUGGAGCAACGCCGCGUGAGUGAAGAAGGCUUUCGGGUCGUAAAACUCUGUUAUUGAAGAAGAACGUGUGUGACAGUAACUGGUCAUGCAGUGACGGUAUUCAAUCAGAAAGUCACGGCUAACUACGUGCCAGCAGCCGCGGUAAUACGUAGGUGGCAAGCGUUGUCCGGAUUUAUUGGGCGUAAAGCGAGUGCAGGCGGUCUUUUAAGUCUGAUGUGAAAGCCUUCGGCUUAACCGAAGAAGGGCAUCGGAAACUGGGAGACUUGAGUGCAGAAGAGGAGAGUGGAACUCCAUGUGUAGCGGUGAAAUGCGUAGAUAUAUGGAAGAACACCAGUGGCGAAGGCGGCUCUCUGGUCUGUAACUGACGCUGAGGCUCGAAAGCGUGGGUAGCAAACAGGAUUAGAUACCCUGGUAGUCCACGCCGUAACGAUGAAUACUAGUGUUGGAGGGUUUC